UAAGUGAUGAGGUCAUUUUGGCAGAAAAAAAGAGAAAAUCUGGAAACACUAUUCCUUUCUCAUAAAUCAAAGAGCCAUUCAUCCUCUCAAGCUUUUGCAUUUCUCUUCUAAUAACACAAAACUCAUUCAUUAGGGCGUUCCUGAUCCCGCCGCCAAAGCACUUUAUUCUCGAAUCACUUUCAAAAAGAUCUCGAUCGAUUUCACCAUUUUGCAGAAAACCCCUAGAGAGGUCGUCGAUCAUGAAGUGUUGCCAAAUUCGCUCUGUGUUUUAAAACAACUGAAUUAGCAAUGUCCAAGCCCGUCAUGCUCGUCUGUCUACUAGUUAUACUUAUAGUCACCUCUCAGUUUGAAUGGAGACAACCACUCGUUGACCUUGAUGCACCCACCACCAUCUCUCAGAAACAGCAGCAAAUUUCAGACAGGGAAGAAUCUGUCAAAGAGAAGAUCAUCAUAUCGCAAGAGAGACAUAUCCAGAAGCUAAAUGAGCUUGUCAGGAGUCUUCAGUUGCAGUUGCUACAAUGCAAGGGAGACAAUGGGACCCAAAAUGCCACCAAAAGCUUUCAUUCAGAUAAACAUUUCAUCGAGGUCGAGAGGAAACAAAUCUUCCAAGGCUAAUCUCCCUUGCAAAAAAAUGAAAUGAUACGUCAAUUCAUUUGAAAGAAAUAUCACUCUUUAUAAUGUGUUUCGGUGUUGUAUUGUAUUUAUGCUGAUGUUCAUAUUGAGAAAACUUUUUUUUUCUGAUAUUAAAUUUUAUAAAUAUCAACCUGUAAACGGGAAUACGAUUUUGAUUACAAGCGGAUUUGAACAUAAGCAUCCUAA